rnacentral:sRNA from 1 species
CGUGGCCCCGCAGCGCCUAUGUGUGGUGCAUAAAGCAUCCCAGCUAAGACAGCAGUGAAAAUGGCAGGCUGCACUUGCUAUACACUCCCGUCUGCAAAGGCGCAGUCCACAUGUCUCUUCUAUACAUCUGACCGGUCACGUCAAGACUUCCCGAUUCAUGACUCGCUCGUCUGCUUCUUGUUGGUUUUCUCUUCUCGAAUGUCGAGCAGCCCAAGGGCAAAGCCUUUCGUCGAGCUGAAGUUCAUGCAUAUAACCUGUGGCGUCACCUUAUAUCUGGCCGGCAACGCCAUGUUCUUACUUCUGGCCUCGAGCCCGUUGGUAAUCAUUACGAUCUUCAGUCAUCUUAUCAGAUCAGAAGCGGAGUAGUCGCGCGCUUGUUUGUUGGGCUUGGGGUGUUGGGUGCUUGUCGUUCAGGAUUCCAACAGUUAGCGUGACGGCCAGAGUUAGGUAUAUGCAUCUGCAUUUCGCAUGGGACCCAGGUCAGAAUUUCAAGGGAUGCAAGAAGAAGAGAAAAGUGGAAGAGGCAACAUCUCACGUCAUCGAUCAU